UACGUAGGGUGCGAGCGUUAAUCGGAAUUACUGGGCGUAAAGCGUGCGCAGGCGGUAAUGUAAGACAGAUGUGAAAUCCCCGGGCUCAACCUGGGACCUGCAUUUGUGACUGCAUUGCUGGAGUGCGGGAGAGGGGGAUGGAAUUCCGCGUGUAGCAGUGAAAUGCGUAGAUAUGCGGAGGAACACCGAUGGCGAAGGCAAUCCCCUGGGCCUGCACUGACGCUCAUGCACGAAAGCGUGGGGAGCAAACAGG
rnacentral:rRNA from 1 species